GACGAACGCUGGCGGCGUGCUUAACACAUGCAAGUCGAACGAAGUGGCGAACGGGUGAGUAACGCGUAAUCAACCUGCCCUUCAGAGGGGGACAACAGUUGGAAACGACUGCUAAUACCGCAUACUGAAGGAGGGGAUUGCGUCUGAUUAGCUAGUUGGAGGGGUAACGGCCCACCAAGGCGAAGAUCGGUAGCCGGGCUGAGAAGGUGAACGGCCACAAUGGGACUGGGACACGGCCCAGACUCCUACGGGGAGCAGCAGUGGGGGAUCUUCCGCAAAGGACGAAAGUCUGACGGAGCAACGCCGCGUGAGUGAUGACGGCCUUCGGGUUGUAAAGCUCUGUUAAUCGGGACGCGGUACCGGAAUAGAAAGCCACGGCUAACUACGUGCCAGCAGCCGCGGUAAUUC
rnacentral:rRNA from 1 species